UGAAGGUGAAGUUAUCGGAGCUAGCGUUCUCUGUUAAGAGUAUUAACCAUAAUCCACAUUUUUUUGCAAAGGCAAAGCAGAAGAACCGAUGAACAUUUAAAACAUGUCCAUAAGCAGAAGCAACCGCUUGCUUUUCAACCCUUAGCCAGAUCAGAUGUUUGAAGGCCUUUGAGAAGCAGGGAGAAAAGCGUGCCCUGUCAGUUCAAGCGCAUGCUGACUGGAGAGAAUAGGGGUUAUAGCCCAAAAAUAAAAGGUUGCUAAGCUAUGGCCCAAUCUCCACUAGCAGGGAGUUCCUGAGACUUCAUUAUACUUCAUCUCAACAUUGUUUUUUUCAAUUUUAAGAAAUGCCAUAAGAGGAUUUUUAAUAUGGAUAAGAUACUUGGUUUGCCUCUGCUGCUUAUCAUAUCGUGGUUCCCUUAUUUGGGGGUGGUGUAUAGGUACAUAUAUGUGAUAUCCUGUGUGGGGCAGUGGGUAAAUUAAUGACUGAGACUCCAGAGACCUGGGUUCGAAUCCCCACUCAGCCAUUAAAACUCAUGGGGUGUGUGGAACUGGUAAAACCACUCUUUAAAUAGCCCUGUUAGGAUCACUGUAAGUCUAUGGCCCAUAACAACAAGUGUAUAUAUGCCUUCUGCACUGGAUAAAAAAUGAGAUUUUUAGAGACUUUAAGGACCAUUUUAAUGGGGGAAAAUACAUGACGUACAAGAUGGCAGUAGAGCUGGCUGGAGAGCUCAGUGGUUUAAGUCUCUGAGCGUUGCAAUAUGAGGGUGCCCGUCUGAAAACAGAAAUAGAACAUGGAGAAUGCAGGAAAAGAAGGAAGCAACUUAGCCAUCAUCCUCUUAGAACUGCUUAGCUGGAAGGGACCCUGUGCCGGCCCUCAUUGAAGUCCCUUGAACUGAGUUUUCUGCUUGUUUGUUUGUUGUUGUUGUUGUUGUUUAUUAACAAUUUAGGAUAGGGUAGGGGAUACAACAAGUAAGGGAGGGAUAUGAGGAAAAAGGAAAAAGAAAGAGGGGGAGUGGAACAUAAAAUAUGUUGCCAUAUCAAGAUGAUUUUCCAUUUUUCUGCUAUACAGUUGCCCUCCAGCAGAAGAACUGACAGAAGAAGUGGUGUCAAAUUAGAGGUCAAAAGUGGCGAGCUUCCAGCCUGCUGCGGCUUUCAGGAAGUUAACACUAGGAAAUCUGGCUGUGUGAUACCUUCUGGGGCUGCCUUGCCUCCAGGAGCCUCGCUUGACCAUCUGUGUAACUUUUGCAGAGCAUUGCCACUGACCGUUUGAGUCGCAAAACAAGUUUUUAAACAAAAUGGUGCGUUAUAGGAAAGCUUCCUGUCUUGACACUAUAACCGAAUAGCAAAAUGGGUAGCUGUGGGAGUGAUGCUAAAAUACAGGACUUGAAUUGUAGUGGUUUUAACCUCCUUUCGUGAUGCUAACGUAAUAAGCACAAUACAGUACUUGAAUUGUAGUGGUUUUAACCUCCUUUUGGAGAUACGGUUUUAAGUGUGUCUCUUGUUUAAUUCCUGAAGUUGCUUCUGCAUCUCAAAGAAUACAGGCAUAGAAGUAAUUUUAUUUUUUUAGUAUUUUUAUCAAUGUUAUUUAAUUUCUUCACAAAUACCGUUCAUACACUUUGGCCCCAUUGGCUUUGGCAUGAAGCUAAAAACCUGACUCGUAUUGAAAAAGGCCUGUUUAAUCUUUCUUUAGAUUCCAAGGCCAUGAUCCAGCCCUAUAUACAAGCAAGUAUGUUGUAUGUAUGAGUCAGGCUGUUUGCAGGAAUGAUAUCCUGUGUAGAUCUGACUUAUUCUGGAGCAGCCUUUCCAUGGAUACGAAGUGCACACUUGGCCACCUUGCUUAUACAUUUGCUGAAGAAAUCAGGUUUUCUCAUGAAGCCACCUCUCCCCCACCUCCGUCUUGUAAAAAGGUGUUUUUAUUUUCCUUCAAGGUUUUGGGCAUGGAGCAUCUCUCGCGAUUAAGAGCCAACGCAAGUCACCACCUCUGACCCUGGACGGAUCGCUCCCACCAUCAUCCUCCCUGGAGCCCCCUCCAGAGCCAAACCACCAGCUGGAACAGGUGGUGGAGUGUUGGCAGG
ensembl:lncRNA